CUUACCCUACAGAUGAAAUGUCUUAGAAUUUAUAAACUUAUUUGUUGGCUUUUGAUGAGCUUUUUCAUAUCAGUGUAGUAUUUCUGAUAGUUUAGAUUUAAAUAUAUACUUUCAAUACAUACCUUACAACAGCAGGACCGCUGCCAAGAUCAAAGACGAACUCAACAAAACCACCGGUCAGGGAUAAUGCAAUGAAGUCACCAUGUUUCGCCGAACCUGAAUAUAAUAUUAAACCAUCGGGUUGUUCCGCUUUCAAAAUAAUCUAAAAACAAGAAACAUAAAUUCCAACCAAAUCAACGCACUAUCGCCAAGUGGUGCAUAACGCAGGAAAGACGAGCCGUUAAAAGCGGGUACCUACGAAAAAAAUUGUAUAACAAAUAAAAAUUGUAAUAGGAAAUCUCCAACAAACCUGAAGAUCCAUGCGUAUUUCGCAAAGAUCGCCCACAAAACCUAUGGGGCAUAGACAAACAGCGCCCUGAUCUGAGGGCAAACACUUGCCGCCAUGUUGACAAGGAUAGGUGAAGCAUUUAUCAGUUACACAGUCCUCUGCAAAAUAAUACAAGAGUGAAUAAGUAUAUUACUACUUACGUAAAUCCAAAUAAGACUUACGUAUGUCAAAACCCUUGGUAACAUCCCCCAAAGGAUGUUCCUCAAACUUGUACUCAUGUUCGUUUGCCACAAAGCGUCUUAUACAGCCGAUAAAUCCAUUAUUGACGGGUAAACGCUUUGUUAAGCCCGUGAUGUUGCCAGUGCCCCCCAGGAAGACCGGUUCUCGGAAUGUUAUGCGAGAAAAGAGUCCCUAAAGAAAAUAUUAAAUAUAUAAUAUAAAUAUUUCAAGAAGAUAUAAAGUAAAGCUUAACUUACAUUCGAGCGACCCUGCACUUUGGUGCCAUGAUUCAGUACCAACCAUGCAUCCCAACGGUGACGAUAAAUUAUCACCGAGUUCCACUCGUUCAAUAAUAUGGUCUCACGUGACCGAACACUGCCCACGCCAGAUCCGCAGUCAAACCUUUUGGAAGUAAAAAAAUACAAGUGUUUAUAAAAAGUUUGCUUUGAGAAAUGAAAUCAAGGAGCACCCACCAAAACUCAACAAAUCCUUUAUUCAAUAGUAGUGUCAUAAAAUCUCCGGUCAAAUCAUCUCUCUCACCGCUUAGAAGUAUUAUGCCAUCGAAUGACUCUGGUCGAAAUUCUACUCGUAUCUGUAAAAAUAAAAUGUUGAUUAUUUAA